rnacentral:rRNA from 1 species
AUUGAACGCUGGCGGCAGGCCUAACACAUGCAAGUCGGGCGAGCGGCGGACGGGUGAGUAAUGUAUGGGGACUGCCCGAUCGAGGGGGAUAACUACUGGAAACGGUGGCUAAUACCGCAUACUAUCGGGUAACACAUAUGGGAUUAGCUAGUAGGUGGGGUAAAGGCUCACCUAGGCGACGAUCUCUAGCUGGUCGGAGAGGAUGAUCAGCAAUACUGGGACUGAGACACGGCGCAGACGCCUACGGAGGCAGCAGUGGGGAAUAGUGCACAAUGGGCGAAAGCCUGAUGCAGCCAUGCCGCGUGUAUGAAGAAGGCCUUAGGGUUGUAAAGUACUUUCAGCGGGGAGGCGUUACCCGCAGAAGAAGCACCGGCUAACUCCGUGACAGCAGCCGAGGUAAUAC